rnacentral:rRNA from 1 species
GCUCAGGAUGAACGCUAGCUACAGGCUUAACACAUGCAAGUCGAGGGGCAGCAUUUUAGUUUGCUUGCAAACUGAAGAUGGCGACCGGCGCACGGGUGAGUAACACGUAUCCAACCUGCCGAUAACUCCGGAAUAGCCUUUCGAAAGAAAGAUUAAUACCGGAUAGCAUACGAAUAUCGCAUGAUAUUUUUAUUAAAGAAUUUCGGUUAUCGAUGGGGAUGCGUUCCAUUAGUUUGUUGGCGGGGUAACGGCCCACCAAGACUACGAUGGAUAGGGGUUCUGAGAGGAAGGUCCCCCACAUUGGAACUGAGACACGGUCCAAACUCCUACGGGAGGCAGCAGUGAGGAAUAUUGGUCAAUGGGCGAGAGCCUGAACCAGCCAAGUAGCGUGAAGGAUGAAGGCUCUAUGGGUCGUAAACUUCUUUUAUAUGGGAAUAAAGUUUUCCACGUGUGGAAUUUUGUAUGUACCAUAUGAAUAAGGAUCGGCUAACUCCGUGCCAGCAGCCGCGGUAAUACGGAGGAUCCGAGCGUUAUCCGGAUUUAUUGGGUUUAAAGGGAGCGUAGGUGGAUUGUUAAGUCAGUUGUGAAAGUUUGCGGCUCAACCGUAAAAUUGCAGUUGAAACUGGCAGUCUUGAGUACAGUAGAGGUGGGCGGAAUUCGUGGUGUAGCGGUGAAAUGCUUAGAUAUCACGAAGAACUCCGAUUGCGAAGGCAGCUCACUAGACUGUCACUGACACUGAUGCUCGAAAGUGUGGGUAUCAAACAGGAUUAGAUACCCUGGUAGUCCACACAGUAAACGAUGAAUACUCGCUGUUUGCGAUAUACAGUAAGCGGCCAAGCGAAAGCAUUAGGUAUUCCACCUGGGGAGUACGCCGGCAACGGUGAAACUCAAAGGAAUUGACGGGGGCCCGCACAAGCGGAGGAACAUGUGGUUUAAUUCGAUGAUACGCGAGGAACCUUACCCGGGCUUAAAUUGCAACAGAAUAUAUUGGAAACAGUAUAGCCGUAAGGCUGUUGUGAAGGUGCUGCAUGGUUGUCGUCAGCUCGUGCCGUGAGGUGUCGGCUUAAGUGCCAUAACGAGCGCAACCCUUAUCUUUAGUUACUAACAGGUCAUGCUGAGGACUCUAGAGAGACUGCCGUCGUAAGAUGUGAGGAAGGUGGGGAUGACGUCAAAUCAGCACGGCCCUUACGUCCGGGGCUACACACGUGUUACAAUGGGGGGUACAGAAGGCGGCUACCUGGUGACAGGAUGCUAAUCCCAAAAACCUCUCUCAGUUCGGAUCGAAGUCUGCAACCCGACUUCGUGAAGCUGGAUUCGCCAGUAAUCGCGCAUCAGCCAUGGCGCGGUGAAUACGUUCCCGGGCCUUGUACACACCGCCCGUCAAGCCAUGAAAGCCGGGGGUACCUGAAGUACGUAACCGCAAGGAGCGUCCUAGGGUAAAACUGGUAA